GCCACGGGUACACGGGGCUCGGAGCGGGUGGGUCGAUGGCCGGCCGCGCCGGCUCCUCGGCCGGCUCGGGCC
rnacentral:tRNA from 1 species